rnacentral:misc_RNA from 1 species
GAAAUGCGAUAAGUAAUGUGAAUUGCAGAAUUCAGUGAAUCAUCGAAUCUUUGAACGCACAUUGCGCCCCCUGGUAUUCCGGGGGGCAUGCCUGUUCGAGCGUCAUUUCACCACUCAAGCCUCGCUUGGUAUUGGGCAACGCGGUCCGCCGCGUGCCUCAAAUCGACCGGCUGGGUCUUCUGUCCCCUAAGCGUUGUGGAAACUAUUCGCUAAAGGGUGCUCGGGAGGCUACGCCGUAAAACAACCCCAUUUCUAAGGUUGACCUCGGAUCAGGUAGGGAUACCCGCUGAACUUAAGC